GGACGAGAAGCUUGCUUCUCUGAUGUUAGCGGCGGACGGGUGAGUAACACGUGGAUAACCUACCUAUAAGACUGGGAUAACUUCGGGAAACCGGAGCUAAUACCGGAUAAUAUUUUGAACCGCAUGGUUCAAAAGUGAAAGACGGUCUUGCUGUCACUUAUAGAUGGAUCCGCGCUGCAUUAGCUAGUUGGUAAGGUAACGGCUUACCAAGGCGACGAUGCAUAGCCGACCUGAGAGGGUGAUCGGCCACACUGGAACUGAGACACGGUCCAGACUCCUACGGGAGGCAGCAGUAGGGAAUCUUCCGCAAUGGGCGAAAGCCUGACGGAGCAACGCCGCGUGAGUGAUGAAGGUCUUCGGAUCGUAAAACUCUGUUAUUAGGGAAGAACAUAUGUGUAAGUAACUGUGCACAUCUUGACGGUACCUAAUCAGAAAGCCACGGCUAACUACGUGCCAGCAGCCGCGGUAAUACGUAGGUGGCAAGCGUUAUCCGGGAUUAUUGGGCGUAAAGCGCGCGUAGGCGGUUUUUUAAGUCUGAUGUGAAAGCCCACGGCUCAACCGUGGAGGGUCAUUGGAAACUGGAAGACUUGAGUGCAGAAGAGGAAAGUGGAAUUCCAUGUGUAGCGGUGAAAUGCGCAGAGAUAUGGAGGAACACCAGUGGCGAAGGCGACUUUCUGGUCUGUAACUGACGCUGAUGUGCGAAAGCGUGGGGAUCAAACAGGAUUA
rnacentral:rRNA from 1 species